rnacentral:tRNA from 1 species
GCGCGAGUAGCCCAGCGGAUUAGAGCAGCUGACUACGGAUCAGCAGGUCGCAGGUUCGAAUCCUGUCUCGGCGCACCA